GACGGAAGGUGCAAGCGUUGCUCGGAAUCACUGGGCGUAAAGGGUGCGUAGGCGGCCGUGCAAGUCUGGCGUGAAAGCCCCGGGCUCAGCCCGGGAAGUGCGCUCGAAACUGCGCGGCUCGAGUGCCGGAGGGGAGAGUGGAAUUCCUGGUGUAGCGGUGAAAUGCGUAGAUAUCGGGAGGAACACCAAUGGCGAAGGCAGCUCGCUGGGACGGUACGUGACGCUGGAGGCGCGAAAGCGUGGGGGAGCAAACAGG
rnacentral:rRNA from 1 species